GGAUAUGGUUUAGUGGUAGAGCUCUUACCUAGCAUGAGCCAGGUCCUAGGUUCAAUCCCCAGUACCA
rnacentral:tRNA from 1 species